UGGGGAAUUUUGGACAAUGGGCGAAAGCCUGAUCCAGCAAUGCCGCGUGUGUGAAGNGGGCCUUCGGGUUGUAAAGCACUUUUGUCCGGAAAGAAAUCCUUGGCUCUAAUACAGUCGGGGGAUGACGGUACCGGAAGAAUAAGCACCGGCUAACUACGUGCCAGCAGCCGCGGUAAUACGUAGGGUGCAAGCGUUAAUCGGAAUUACUGGGCGUAAAGCGUGCGCAGGCGGUUUGCUAAGACCGAUGUGAAAUCCCCGGGCUCAACCUGGGAACUGCAUUGGUGACUGGCAGGCUAGAGUAUGGCAGAGGGGGGUAGAAUUCCACGUGUAGCAGUGAAAUGCGUAGAGAUGUGGAGGAAUACCGAUGGCGAAGGCAGCCCCCUGGGCCAAUACUGACGCUCAUGCACGAAAGCGUGGGGAGCAAACAGGAUUAGAUACCCUGGUAGUCCACGCCCUAAACGAUGUCAACUAGUUGUUGGGGAUUCAUUUCCUUAGUAACGUAGCUAACGCGUGAAGUUGACCGCCUGGGGAGUACGGUCGCAAGAUUAAAACUCAAAUGAAUUGACGGGGUCAUAGCUGUUUCCU
rnacentral:rRNA from 1 species